UCUACGGCCAUACCACCCUGAAUGCGCCCAAUCUCGUCUGAUCUCGGAAGCUAAGCAGGGUUGGGCCUGGUUAGUACUUGGAUGGGAGAAGGAGAUCUGUCACUGCACACCUUAUCAGAAGCCAGGAUCCGGAAGGA
rnacentral:rRNA from 1 species